rnacentral:rRNA from 1 species
GACGAACGCUGGCGGCGUGCUUAACACAUGCAAGUCGAACGGGAUCCGGGCUUUCGGGUUUGGUGAGAGUGGCGAACGGGUGAGUAACACGUGAGUAACCUGCCCCCUUCUUUGGGAUAACGUCGGGAAAUCGGCGCUAAUACUGGAUAUUCUUGCUGCAUCGCAUGGUGUGGUUUGGCAAGGGUUUCUGGUGGGGGAUGGGCUCGCGGCCUAUCAGCUUGUUGGUGGGGUGAUGGCCUACCAAGGCUUUGACGGGUAGCCGGCCUGAGAGGGUGUCCGGCCACACUGGGACUGAGACACGGCCCAGACUCCUACGGGAGGCAGGAGUGGGGAAUAUUGCACAAGGGGCGCAAGCCUGAUGCAGCGACGCCGCGUGAGGGAUGACGGCCUUCGGGUUGUAAACCUCUUUCAGUAUGGAACAAGGAUCCUUCUUUUGGGGGGUCUGAGGGUACGUGCUUAAGAAGCGCCGGCUAACUACGUG